rnacentral:rRNA from 1 species
UAAACUAGGAUUAGAUACCCUAUUAUUGAAAAAGUAAAUAAAAAAUACUAAAAUAUUAUAUAAUUAUUUAUUGAAACUUAAAUAAUUUGGCGGUAUUUUAGUUCAUUUAGAGGAAUCUGUUUAAUAAUUGAUAAUCCACGAAUAAAUUUACUUAAUUUAAAAUUUUGUAUAUCGUUGUUAUAUAAAUAUUUUUAAAUAAUUAAUAAUAUUUAAAAAUUUAAUUAAAAAAUUAAAUUAGAUCAAGAUGCAGAUUAUAAUUAAGUAUAUAAUGGAUUACAAUAAAAAUAUUUAAG